GCGUUUCAGGUCGGAAGGAAUAAUGUUGUAGACAUUGGCCGGCUUGAAGACGAGCGCAGGAGUUCGUCGCUCUCGUGGGCGUGUGGUUUCAUGGGAGAUGACAGAAUCGAAUCUGUGUGGCUCUGUUUCACCUCAGAUUUACAGGCUUGACGAGCUCACCAAAUUGUCUCUUGCAGGAAACAACUUCGCUGGGCAGAGCAUCGAAGGAACGCUUGGUUAAAGCGUCGAGGGAUCUGCGUGCUCAAACCCGUAGGUCGGACAAUCAAGAGCUCGAUAGGCCGGUUAGAUUACCAGGUCGGCAAGCCUUCAACCCCUAAUUGAAUAGGCCAGCUCUAGCGUUGGGCGCUUAAUCGGAUGACAGAGGCCUAUGGCUGUACAGUGGGGGGGUUUCUUCUUUGCCGGUGGCCUGUGUGUUGCGUCCUCUGUACCAACUGCAGGAGGAGGCUUGUUAAUUAGUGGCUUGUAUUGGGUAAGAGAGUGAGUAGUGAGUAGCACCACCGCAAGAAACAACACUAGCAAA
rnacentral:lncRNA from 1 species